CUUUGCUUUGGUUUUAUGCGCAAUAAUGCCAUUGCCUACAGCGUGCAAUAAAUGUGUUUUUCCAAGACCUGUGUCACCAUA
rnacentral:antisense_RNA from 1 species